UGUCUGGAUGGCUGCCUGGUGACAUGGAUUCCUUCUCAGUUUAAUACAGGUUGGAUUAGCCAGGAAUUCAUUGUCUUUUUCUAGAGAGCCAGGAUACAGACCUACAAAAUUCACAGUAAACAAAAGCAGGCAACAAAACCACAUCGGUGGGUUUCUGGUUGGAAGCACUGCCGUAGGCUCUAAGGCUCCCAGCUUCUGCACCCCGAGCAAGGCGGGUAAAUCCCCACAAGGACUGGCUCAACAAAGACCUUCAAGUUUCUAACUUAACCUUCUACAUCCCUAAAUCUGGUCUUGGAUCGUGUUAUGCUUCAGUUCCUCCUCUGACACACUUGGAUAUGUAACAAUAUAGAGGGGGAAAGAUAUUUGUCAACAAUAUAUUUGGUGUUCUACAACAGUCGAGAUUAUUAGCCCUUGACUACAGAUCCCCAAACCAUCUCAGAAAUGUACUUCAGAACCUUGUAUCUCUAAUACAAAACUGAAUUUACCCUGGGACUGGGCAGAUUUCAGACAAGCUGGCACAAAACAGGAGGAGGUGAGGGGGGCACUGCUCCAUUAAUUUUCUCGCUUGUUCCCUCUGCAGCAAUCUAAACAGAACUAAUUCUGAUGUUCCAGUGUGCGUUGUCUGCCUCAAAGUGAGAACAAAACAAAAGCAGCAUUAAACUGAACUAUGUGGUCAUCCACACACCAUACUGGUUUGGAUGACUCUCUGUCUGUGUGGCUUUUUGUAUUAGAGCUGGUAUCAAUGGCCUCCUUGUUGUCUGUUGAGCCCCCAUGGGGUUACAUGAGUACUAUCUCAAUUCAAUAGCUUUUCUCUCAACCAUUGUCUUUUAAUAUAGGUUUAUAGUCCUCAAGGAUAUAUGCUGCAUUACAAUUAGUCAUAAUGUCCAGCGGCUACUGAGCCUUAUUUGCAACACAGAGUUUAUUGCCCUUUGUGAGGCUGACAAAGAGAUACUUGUUGAGAGCUGUACACAAAAGGCAAAUACAAUGUAUGAAUUUCUCAGCAAUAUAAAAGACGAAAAUAAAAGCUGGUCAGUAAAUAGCUCUAACAGAGCAAGUAGCAUCUCUUCUUUCACCUCCUCUGGGCCCCGCUCCUGGCUUUCUCAAAUCAAUGCAUCUCACCUAAUUUUAAAACAAC